UACGAAGGGUGCAAGCGUUACUCGGAAUUACUGGGCGUAAAGCGUGCGUAGGUGGUUUGUUAAGUCUGUUGUGAAAGCCCCGGGCUCAACCUGGGAAUGGCAAUGGAUACUGGCAAGCUAGAGUGCGGUAGAGGGUAGUGGAAUUCCCGGUGUAGCGGUGAAAUGCGUAGAUAUCGGAAGGAACAUCAGUGGCGAAAGCGACCUCCUGGACCAAUAUUGACACUCAAGUGCGAAAGCGUGGGGAGCAAACAGG
rnacentral:rRNA from 1 species